CCUAUUUAAGUUGCUUAGCCUCUUCCUUUCCUCUAUCGUGUGAGAUCAUUCAAACUACAAAGGCACAUAUCUAUAGCAUCCUAGCUAUAUCUGGGUGAAGAAGCAAAAUGAAAAUGAGGCUUGUGGUAAUUGCACUAACAAUAUUGAUGCUUGCAAGUUCUUCUAUGGCUAUCCAUGUGAAGACUUUGGUGGCCAACAACAUGCUACAAGAGAAGGAGGGAGAACACAGUAAUGGUAAUAAUAAUGAGCAUCAAAUCCCUCUGAACCGCUAUAGUGAUAUCCAUGAAAUUCCUGGAACGGGUGGACCUGGCGAACGUACAGUCAGUGGCCACAUGGAAUAUACCAAACCAGCUAGCCCGAAUAGGAAUGGUUAAUUAGUAGACGAAGGGUAUAUAUAUAUAAGUGUGUGUAUAUGUGUGUUUGUGAAUUAACAAGAGGUUGUUGGUACAAGUGAAAUUUGACUCAAUUUCUUUAAAUAAGAUUUUGAGUUUAAGUUGUUUGAAUGAAAAAUAUGAUUAAAAUGAUUAGUAUUAAAAGUGGUCAAUUAAAUUCUUCAAUAAAAAAUAAAGUUAAUAGAUAUUUUGUAUAAUAAGAUGAUUAUCCAAAAUAUAUAUGUAAUGUGUUGACGUUGGUAAGCUGCAUGUACGUGCAUAAUAAUGCAUGCAAGGAAUUGCUGGGGAACUACGUUCCUACCUCAUGUCCACAGUUGUACCCAUAUAAGCUAGCUACAUACAUAUGUGAUGCUUCAAGGGUCACCCAAUGCCUGUGAGUAUUAUUGUGCCUGUUGCACCACCAUAUGUUGUUGAGAUAAUAAUAAAGAAGAUUUGGUUUGUUUCUAUA